rnacentral:rRNA from 1 species
AACCGAGGUCCUGACUCUCUGUGGUACUGGUUGCCCACUGAAGCUAAGCAGGGUUGAGCCUGGACAGUACCUGGAUGGGAGACCUCCUGGGAAAACUAGGUUGCUGCUGGAA